rnacentral:pre_miRNA from 1 species
CAAAUACUCACUCCGUUCUGAAUUACUUGUCACAGAAAUGGAUGUAUCUAGACAUUUUUUAGUUCUAGAUACAUCCAUUUCUACGACAAGUAAUUCCGAACGGAGGGAGUACUAU